AUUGAACGCUGGCGGCAGGCCUAACACAUGCAAGUCGAACGAGUGGCGGACGGGUGAGUAAUGUCUGGGAAACUGCCUGAUGGAGGGGGAUAACUACUGGAAACGGUAGCUAAUACCGCAUACCAUCGGAUGUCCCCAGAUGGGAUUAGCUAGUAGGUGGGGUAAAGGCUAACCUAGGCGACGAGCCCUAGCUGGUCUGAGAGGAUGAACAGCCAAACUGGAACUGAGACACGGUCCAGAGUCCUACGGGAGGCAGCAGUGGGGAAUAUUGCAGAAUGGGGGCAAGCCUGAUGCAGACAUGCCGCGUGGAUGAAGAAGGCCUUCGGGUUGUAAAGUACUUGCAGCGGGGAGGCGUUACCCGCAGAAGAAGCACCGGCUAACUCCGUGCCAGCAGCCGCGGUAAUAC
rnacentral:rRNA from 1 species